rnacentral:rRNA from 1 species
AACGAACGCUGGCGGCAGGCUUAACACAUGCAAGUCGAACGCAUCGCAAGAUGAGUGGCAGACGGGUGAGUAACGCGUGGGAAUCUACCCAGUUCUACGGAACAACAGUUGGAAACGACUGCUAAUACCGUAUACGCCCUACGGGGGAAAGAUUUAUCGGAAUUGGAUGAGCCCGCGUAAGAUUAGCUAGUUGGUGGGGUAAUGGCCUGCCAAGGCGACGAUCUUUAGCUGGUCUGAGAGGAUGAUCAGCCACACUGGGACUGAGACACGGCCCAGACUCCUACGGGAGGCAGCAGUGGGGAAUAUUGGACAAUGGGCGCAAGCCUGAUCCAGCCAUGCCGCGUGAGUGAUGAAGGCCUUAGGGUUGUAAAGCUCUUUCGCCGAUGAAGAUAAUGACGGUAGUCGGAGAAGAAGCCCCGGCCAACUUCGUGCCAGCAGCCGCAGUAACAC